rnacentral:tRNA from 1 species
AGUUCAGCUUGGUAGAGCACACCCUUGGUAAGGGUGAGGUCGCGAGUUCAAUCCUCGCCACGG